AUUCUGUUCUGUAAAUUCUAGCUUCAUUGGUCUCCCUGGGAUCCCAGAUCCAACUCUCUACUCAGGACUACUGCUAGGCUCAACACUGUGGCCUGGAAAUUCUCUGAAGUUGGUCAGCUGGGGGCAGUCACAGGAUUUGCUUCAGUUGUUUCCAUUUUCCCAGGAAUCAGUGUCAGGCACUGCCGGUGGUCCAAUGUCUGAAAAUCAUUGGUUCAGUUAUUUUUCUGGUUUUUCACUUGUUUUAGGAUGCUGGCAUGAGUGUACAUUUCCUAGAAUUCCUGGAAUCUGAAUGCUAGCUCUUAGAUGGGCUUUAGAAAUUAGCUCAACCUGCACCUCCCAUUUACCAGCAAAGAAACUGAGAUGGGGAAAGGGCCUGCCUUUGUUUGGCCGACUCUAAGCUGGGCCACUUUUCUUAACUUCAGAUAAAAGUUGUUUUGAGGGCAGCCCCAGUGGUGCAGUGGUUUGGCACUGCUUGCAGCCUGGGGUGUGAUCCUGGAGACCCGGGAUCGAGUCCCACAUCGGGCUCCCUGAAUGGAGCCUGCUUCUCCCUCUGCCUGUGUCUCUGCCUCUCUCUCUGUGUCUAUGAAUAAAUAAAAAUAAAAUCUUAAAAAAAAAGGAAAGUUGUUUUGAAAUAAAUGAGCUCCCAGGAGAAAAGAAGGAGCCUGAGGAACUUCAAAUCAAGGCUCCUGUGUGUCAAAGGACAGAGUGAAAAUUCCCAACAGAAACCUGGGGUCACAGUGAAAGGAAGUUUUGGAGAGGAGGACCAACGCCAGAGAGGAGGAGGAGGAAGGAAGGAAGCAAUGAGAGCCAUAAGCCCAUUUCUCAGGUCACUUCAAAAGCCUCCAAUUCAAGACACUGAGCAGAUAAGUAUCUAUUUUUCUUUGCUUAGGAACUGCCCCUCCCCAUUUACUGCCUUACAAUACUAAGCACAUGCUUCUCAGCACGUAAAAAGCCAGGGACAGUCCAGGUUUUGAUGCAGGGGGCAAACUUUGCUUUGCCUUGUUGACCAGCCAUCACAAUGGGGCCUUUCAUUGCAGAAGCACAUGGUUCCGGGCAACGUGACCUAAGAGCUGGCAAGGGCUCUGGGCGGCACAAAGGAACGGAACUUGUCUUUGUGCUGGGAGUGCAGUGUUAGUAUUUGCAGUGGCCCCUCGGUUCAGGAUGUGGGCACUGGUCUGUGCCACUCAGUGGCACCUUUACCCUGUUCCCACACCUCUGCAACCAAUGGGUGGCCAGAGUGGGCCAGGUUCCUGGAAGAGGAGGUGGGGCAAAGUCCACCUGGGUAGACACACUUGUGUACAUCUAAGGCAAUUCUCCAGUGGUCAGAAAACUCCUCUGUGCAGAUUGUGGUCAUUAUUUUCACUUCCUUGGGCAGCAAAAUACUAACCUGGCCUUCUUCAGACAGCAACCCCCAAACCUGAGGAGGUCCUGAUGUGUUUUCCAAAUGUCAGUUCAUCAUAGUCAGCACGGUUUGGGGGCCUGACUGGAAAUGGUGCUCAUCAUCCGGAAUUAACUAAACUUCUACUACACGUACUGCAGACGUGCUGCUAUCCUCCAGUAUCACCAUUUCACUGAGAACCAGUCACCAAGAACUAUUAAUGACAAGUUUACCAGGUCAGUCAGGAAAUCUUCUGGUGGGUGCCAAAGAGUCGGCCACCUGGGGCCUCUCCUUUCCCUCCAAGGAAGACAGGUAAUUUGCAUGAACCAAUGGAAGCUCUAUGGCGUGUACUCCUCAGCGUGCAGGGACUCUUCCAAGAGAAGGUUUCAGAGAAGAGGUUGUGUGGAAACAAAUUAGUUUGCAGAUACAUUCAAAAUGGAAAGCCAGCUGAGGCAGCUAUUUAUUGUGUCUUUCUUGGACACUGAUUCCUUAGUAGGCACACUGGGCUGCCCAAGGACCAAGCUGGAGAGCCCCUCUGGGGUGGGGAUGCCAAAGUGACUCCAGCCGGAUGCUGCGCAUCCCCUAAGGUCAGAGUACUGAGUCCUGAACACGAUUCAUUCUCCGAAGUUCAUCUAGAUUGCACACUCAUCCUCCACAUCAGUCCCAGACAUCCGGCCAGAGGGCAUGCAGCACCCAGGAAGCUAUUCUGCUCUCAGGAAACCAGCUGUGAUGGUCUUCUCCAUCAGGAGUUUGGAAAAGUAGAGGGAUAUGGGGAGGGCCUGAUAUACCCAGUUACCAGCAAAGAAUAAGAUGCUUUGAAAGCAGCCUGCAUAAAGUGACACUGAACAAAUGAAACCCAACAAUUAAGAACCAGGGAAUGAAACAGGCUAGAAAUCAUUUAUCUGUAAACUUACUAGAUUUCAAGUUUGCAAAGUACAUCUGCAAUCAUGUAAAUACAUAAUUAAAGGCAGUUAAAUACGUAGUAAUCAUUCAAUUAUAGUUCCUUAAAUUCUCUUUUUGCCUCCCUUAUUCUCUGGAAGUGAUGUGUACCGUGUAGCUUUAUACCUUGUCACCUUUCUCUUCAGGUUCAUCUUCAUUAAGGAAUUCUCGUUUGGGGUAUGGAAUCUGGCAGCCAGCAAACACACUACAACAUCAUUUAAAAAAAAAAAAAAAAAAAAGAAUAUACAUCACGACCUAAAAUCUACAGUAUCAUUGACCUUGUUAGCUUAAAAUUCCACUUUUUUUCUUAAGCUAUGUCCCACUCUUCAGCUCUAGCUAAUAUUUGCGGGAUGCCUCCCAAGACAACUGAAUUCAAGCAAAUAAGAAAAGAAUUUGUGGGGUGCCUGGGUGGCUUAGUUAGUUAAGUGUCUGACUCUUGAUUUCGGCUCAGGUCAGGAUCUCAGGGCUGUUAGAUCGAGCACCGAGUCAGGCUCUGACCCGCGCUGGGCACACGUGUGCAGAGCCUGCUUGAGAUUCUCUCUCUCCCUCUGCCCUUCACCCCCACCUCCUUCUCUCUCUGGAAAAAAAAAUUGUCUAAGUUUUAUAAUAAUUACCAUCUUCAGUAACAAAUCUUAACUGCUGUUAGCUAGUUGACAUAUAUGAUGGGGAAGUUUCUCCACAGAAAAUUUAUUAGCACACAAAACAAAAUUGAAU